rnacentral:rRNA from 1 species
AUGGUUUCCCGCCUAUCAACUCCCUCCCUCGUAUUCUGCACCAACUCCCCUGCGCGAUCUCCUCCUUCUCGCGCGCCACUGAUCCAGCCUCCUCGGAAGCGGACGGUGUCUGCCUGCGUCCCCAACCGUCUCAGGUACCGCAGGCAUCGAGCACGGCGUGCACCGACGCUGUUCGACGUAAUGCUCCCGCCGAGAGGCUCACAUCUCUUUGUGUCUUAUGCCAAGCGUUAUCGUCUCCCACCGGAGGCAUAUUUUGAUGAUUUGCAUCAACGAGGGUAUGUGCAUGAUGCUCUUCAGAUAGCACAAAGNNAUGGUCGCUGGUUUUUCUAG